AUUAAUUAGGGAAGCUAUGAAGUAUAUUUUGUAUUUGGACACCUAAAGUAUACAGAGCUAAUGGUGCAACCACUCCCAACUAUA
rnacentral:ncRNA from 1 species